rnacentral:rRNA from 1 species
CCUACGGGAGGCAGCAGUGAGGAAUAUUGGUCAAUGGGCGGAAGCCUGUACCAGCCAAGUAGCGUGCAGGAUGACGGCCCUACGGGUUGUAAACUGCUUUUAUACGGGAAUAACGCGCCUUACGUGUAGGGCUUUGCAUGUACCGUAUGAAUAAGGACCGGCUAAUUCCGUGCCAGCAGCCGCGGUAAUACGGAAGGUCCGGGCGUUAUCCGGAUUUAUUGGGUUUAAAGGGAGCGUAGGCCGCAUGUCAAGCGUGCUGUGAAAUGUCCGGGCUCAACCCGGGCCUUGCAGCGCGAACUGGCGUGCUUGAGUCCGCGGAAAGCAGGCGGAAUUCGUCGUGUAGCGGUGAAAUGCUUAGAUAUGACGAAGAACCCCGAUUGCGAAGGCAGCUUGCUGCAGCGGAACUGACGCUGAUGCUCGAAAGCGCGGGUAUCGAACAGGAUUAGAUACCCUAGUAGUC